rnacentral:rRNA from 1 species
GUAUAGACCCGAAACCCGGUGAUCUAGCCAUGGGCAGGUUGAAGGUUGGGUAACACUAACUGGAGGACCGAACCGACUAAUGUUGAAAAAUUAGCGGAUGACCUGUGGCUGGGGGUGAAAGGCCAAUCAAACCGGGAGAUAGCUGGUUCUCCCCGAAAGCUAUUUAGGUAGCGCCUCGUGAAUUCAUCUCCGGGGGUAGAGCACUGUUUCGGCUAGGGGGCCAUCCCGGCUUACCAACCCGAUGCAAACUGCGAAUACCGGAGAAUGUUAUCACGGGAGACACACGGCGGGUGCUAACGUCCGUCGUGAAGAGGGAAACAACCCAGACCGCCAGCUAAGGUCCCAAAGUCAUGGUUAAGUGGGAAACGAUGUGGGAAGGCCCAGACAGCCAGGAUGUUGGCUUAGAAGCAGCCAUCAUUUAAAGAAAGCGUAAUAGCUCACUGGUCGAGUCGGCCUGCGCGGAAGAUGUAACGGGGCUAAACCAUGCACCGAAGCUGCGGCAGCGACGCUGAUGCGUUGUUGGGUAGGGGAGCGUUCUGUAAGCCGUUGAAGGUGGCCUGUGAGGGUUGCUGGAGGUAUCAGAAGUGCGAAUGCUGACAUAAGUAACGAUAAAGCGGGUGAAAAGCCCGCUCGCCGGAAGACCAAGGGUUCCUGUCCAACGUUAAUCGGGGCAGGGUGAGUCGACCCCUAAGGCGAGGCCGAAAGGCGUAGUCGAUGGGAAACGGGUUAAUAUUCCCGUACUUGGUGUUACUGCGAAGGGGGGACGGAGAAGGCUAUGUUGGCCGGGCGACGGUUGUCCCGGUUUAAGCGUGUAGGUGUGUGUUCCAGGUAAAUCCGGUUCACUUUAACACUGAGGCGUGACGACGAGGCACUACGGUGCUGAAGCAACAAAUGCCCUGCUUCCAGGAAAAGCCUCUAAGCAUCAGGUAACAUCAAAUCGUACCCCAAACCGACACAGGUGGUCAGGUAGAGAAUACCAAGGCGCUUGAGAGAACUCGGGUGAAGGAACUAGGCAAAAUGGUGCCGUAACUUCGGGAGAAGGCACGCUGACACGUAGGUGAAGUGAUUUACUCAUGGAGCUGAAGUCAGUCGAAGAUACCAGCUGGCUGCAACUGUUUAUUAAAAACACAGCACUGUGCAAACACGAAAGUGGACGUAUACGGUGUGACGCCUGCCCGGUGCCGGAAGGUUAAUUGAUGGGGUCAGCGCAAGCGAAGCUCCUGAUCGAAGCCCCGGUAAACGGCGGCCGUAACUAUAACGGUCCUAAGGUAGCGAAAUUCCUUGUCGGGUAAGUUCCGACCUGCACGAAUGGCGUAAUGAUGGCCAGGCUGUCUCCACCCGAGACUCAGUGAAAUUGAACUCGCUGUGAAGAUGCAGUGUACCCGCGGCAAGACGGAAAGACCCCGUGAACCUUUACUAUAGCUUGACACUGAACAUUGAGCCUUGAUGUGUAGGAUAGGUGGGAGGCUUUGAAGUGUGGACGCCAGUCUGCAUGGAGCCGACCUUGAAAUACCACCCUUUAAUGUUUGAUGUUCUAACGUGGACCCGUAAUCCGGGUUGCGGACAGUGUCUGGUGGGUAGUUUGACUGGGGCGGUCUCCUCCUAAAGAGUAACGGAGGAGCACGAAGGUUGGCUAAUCCUGGUCGGACAUCAGGAGGUUAGUGCAAUGGCAUAAGCCAGCUUGACUGCGAGCGUGACGGCGCGAGCAGGUGCGAAAGCAGGUCAUAGUGAUCCGGUGGUUCUGAAUGGAAGGGCCAUCGCUCAACGGAUAAAAGGUACUCCGGGGAUAACAGGCUGAUACCGCCCAAGAGUUCAUAUCGACGGCGGUGUUUGGCACCUCGAUGUCGGCUCAUCACAUCCUGGGGCUGAAGUAGGUCCCAAGGGUAUGGCUGUUCGCCAUUUAAAGUGGUACGCGAGCUGGGUUUAGAACGUCGUGAGACAGUUCGGUCCCUAUCUGCCGUGGGCGCUGGAGAACUGAGGGGGGCUGCUCCUAGUACGAGAGGACCGGAGUGGACGCAUCACUGGUGUUCGGGUUGUCAUGCCAAUGGCACUGCCCGGUAGCUAAAUGCGGAAGAGAUAAGUGCUGAAAGCAUCUAAGCACGAAACUUGCCCCGAG